GAUGAACGCUGGCGGCGUGCCUAAUACAUGCAAGUCGAGCGAACAGACGAGGAGCUUGCUCCUCUGACGUUAGCGGCGGACGGGUGAGUAACACGUGGAUAACCUACCUAUAAGACUGGGAUAACUUCGGGAAACCGGAGCUAAUACCGGAUAACAUGUUGAACCGCAUGGUUCAACAGUGAAAGACGGUUUUGCUGUCACUUAUAGAUGGAUCCGCGCCGCAUUAGCUAGUUGGUAAGGUAACGGCUUACCAAGGCAACGAUGAGUAGCCGAGCUGAGAGGCCAAGCAGCAACAGAGAAACGGAGACGAGGCCCAGACUAGGACGGGAGGGAGCAGUAAGGAAUAUUGGUCAAUGGGUGAAAUCCCGAAGCAGCGAGGCAGAAUGAGGGACGAAGGGCGUUUGAGUGUGAAACUCGGUAGUGAGAAAAAAAAAACCAAAUAUGUGGGUCAUGAUGGUACCUCAAAAGAAAGCCCCGGCUAACUACGUG
rnacentral:rRNA from 1 species